AUGAACGACUACAGACCUAUAAGCCUGAUACAUUCCAUUGCCAAACUGAUCACAAAAGUGCUAUCCAUGAGACUAGCGGCCGUCAUUGACAAGAUUAUCUCGCCUGCUCAAACGGCCUUUCAGCGCGGGAGAUGCAUCCAUGACAGCUACCUUUACGUGCAGAAUUCUGUCCGAUCUCUUCAUAGGAACAAAACCCCAGCACUUCUUCUUAAGCUAGAUAUAGCUAGGGCCUUCGAUAGCAUAUCUUGGGAAUACCUAUUAGAAUUGCUUUAG
rnacentral:rRNA from 1 species